rnacentral:rRNA from 1 species
AUUGAACGCUGGCGGCAGGCCUAACACAUGCAAGUCGAGCGGAGCGGCGGACGGGUGAGUAAUGCCUAGGAAUCUGCCUGGUAGUGGGGGGUAACGUCCGGAAACGUGCGCUAAUACCGCAUACUAUCAGAUGAGCCGAGGUCGGAUUAGUUGGUUGGUGGGGUAAAGGCCUACCAGGGCGACGAUCCGUAACUGGUCUGAGAGGAUGAUCAGUCACAGUGGAACUGGGCAAGGGUCCAGACUCCUAAGGAAGGCACCAGUGGGGAAUAUUGGAAAAGGGGCGAAAGACUGAUCCAGUCAUGCCGCGUGUGUGAAGAAGGUCUUCGGAUUGAAAAGCACUUUAAGUUGGGAGGCGUUAACAACAGAAUAAGCACCGGCUAACUUCGUGCCAGCAGCCGCGGUAAUUC